rnacentral:lncRNA from 1 species
GGCAUCUCUAGCCAUCUUGAGUAGCUCUCCUCCACAGCCUUGCAGAGCAACUCGCAAUCUACAACCCCACAGCGUGGCUUGAGAGCAACACCAGAGGCAGCAAGGACAUCAGCAGGGAGUAGACUGCUAGGCAUCGCACCGCCCCCGUGCAGCCCCAGCCCUGUGCAGGCGGGAGCGCCGAGGAGUGCUCAGGCACAUAUGUGAGCCCCGGCGCCCUCCCUCCCUGCUGUUGGAAUGCAGCCUCCCCCGGUGCCAGAACAGACACGGAAGAAGUGUUCCGUU